GAUGAACGCUGGCGGCGUGCCUAAUACAUGCAAGUCGAGCGAACAGAUGAGGCGCUUGCUUCUCUGACGUUAGCGGCGGACGGGUGAGUAACACGUGGAUAACCUACCUAUAAGACUGGGAUAACUUCGGGAAACCGGAGCUAAUACCGGAUAAUAUAUUGAACCGCAUGGUUCAAUAGUGAAAGACGGUUUUGCUGUCACUUAUAGAUGGAUCCGCGCCGCAUUAGCUAGUUGGUAAGGUAACGGCUUACCAAGGCGACGAUGCGUAGCCGACCUGAGAGGGUGAUCGGCCACACUGGAACUGAGACACGGUCCAGACUCCUACGGGAGGCAGCAGUAGGGAAUCCUCCGCAAUGGGCGAAAGCCUGACGGAGCAACGCCGCGUGUGUGAUGAAGGUCUUCGGAUCGUAAAACUCUGUUAUUAGGGAAGAACAAAUGUGUAAGUAACUAUGCACGUCUUGACGGUACCUAAUCAGAAAGCCACGGCUAACUACGUG
rnacentral:rRNA from 1 species